AUUGAACGCUGGCGGCAGGCCUAACACAUGCAAGUCGAACGAGUGGCGGACGGGUGAGUAAUGUCUGGGAAACUGCCUGAUGGAGGGGGAUAACUACUGGAAACGGUAGCUAAUACCGCAUACCAUCUGAUGUGCCCAGAUGGGAUUAGCGAGUAGGUGGGGUAAAGGCUCCCCUAGGCGACGAUCCCUAGCUGGUCUGAGAGGAUGACCGGCCAAACUGGAACUGGGCCACGGCCCAGACUCCAACGGGAGGCGGCAGUGGGAAAUAUUGGACAAGGGGCGCAAGCCUGAUGCAGCCAUGCCGCGUGUAUGAAGAGGGCCUUCGGGUUGUAAGGUACUUUCAUCGGGGAGGCGUUACCCGCAGAGGAAGCACCGGCUAACUCCGUGCCAGCAGCCGCGGUAAUAC
rnacentral:rRNA from 1 species